rnacentral:rRNA from 1 species
GACGAACGCUGGCGGCGUGCCUAAUACACGCAAGUUGAGCGCUGAAGGUUGGUACUUGUACCAACUGGAUGAGCAGCGAACGGGUGAGUAACGCGUGGGGAAUCUGCCUUUGAGCGGGGGACAACAUUUGGAAACGAAUGCUAAUACCGCAUAAAAACUUUAAACACAAGUUUUAAGUUUGAAAGAUGCAAUUGCAUCACUCAAAGAUGAUCCCGCGUUGUAUUAGCUAGUUGGUGAGGUAAAGGCUCACCAAGGCGAUGAUACAUAGCCGACCUGAGAGGGUGAUCGGCCACAUUGGGACCGAGACACGGCCCAAACUCCUACGGGAGGCAGCAGUAGGGAAUCUUCGGCAAUGGACGAAAGUCUGACCGAGCAACGCCGCGUGAGUGAAGAAGGUUUUCGGAUCGUAAAACUCUGUUGGUAGAGAAGAACGUUGGUGAGAGUGGAAAGCUCAUCAAGUGACGGUAACUACACAGAAAGGGACGGCUAACUACGUG